UUUCUUUCACCAGGUAGGGGAAGUUUUCUGUCACUAUUUCUUCAAAUAGGUUUUCAAUUUCCUGCUCUCUUCUUCCAGCACCCUCAUGAUAUGAAUGUUGGUAUGCUUGAAGUUGUCCCAGAGGCUCCUUACACUUGCCUCAUUUUU